GACGAACGCUGGCGGCGUGCUUAACACAUGCAAGUCGAACGGAGUGGCGAACGGGUGAGUAACACGUGGGUGACCUGCCCUGCACUUCGGGAUAAGCCUGGGAACCUUGGUCUAAUACCGGAUAGUGAGGGAUGGGCCCGAGGCCUAUCAGCUUGUGGGUGGGGUAAUGGCCUAACAUGGCGGCGACGGGUAGCAGGCCUGAGAGGGUGGACGGUCACAUUGGGACUGGGAAACGGCCCAGAGUCAUACGGGAGGCAGCAGUGGGGAAUGUUGCACGAUGGGCGGAGGCCUGAUGCAGCGACGCCGCGUGGGGGAUGACGGCCUUCGGGUUGUAAACUCCUUUCACCAUCGACGCGGGAGAUGGAGAAGAAGCACCGGCUAACUACGUGCCAGCAGCCGCGGUAAUAC
rnacentral:rRNA from 1 species